rnacentral:rRNA from 1 species
GUCUACGGCCAUGCCACCCUGAACAAGCCCAAACAUGUCUAAUCUCGGAAGCUAAGCAGGGUCGGGCCUGGUUAGUACUUGGAUGGGAGACCACCUAGGAAGACCAGAUGCUGUAGGUG